rnacentral:rRNA from 1 species
CCUACGGGUGGCAGCAGUGAGGAAUAUUGGUCAAUGGGCGAGAGCCUGAACCAGCCAAGUAGCGUGAAGGAUGACUGCCCUACGGGUUGUAAACUUCUUUUAUAAAGGAAUAAAAUGUGGCACGUGUGGCAUUUUGCAUGUACUUUAUGAAUAAGGAUCGGCUAACUCCGUGCCAGCAGCCGCGGUAAUACGGAGGAUCCGAGCGUUAUCCGGAUUUAUUGGGUUUAAAGGGAGCGUAGAUGGGUUGUUAAGUCAGUUGUGAAAGUUUGCGGCUCAACCGUAAAAUUGCAUUUGAUACUGGCAGUCUUGAGUACAGUUGAGGUAGGCGGAAUUCGUGGUGUAGCGGUGAAAUGCUUAGAUAUCACGAAGAACCCCGAUUGCGAAGGCAGCUUACUAGACUGCGACUGACACUGAGGCUCGAAAGUGUGGGUAUCAAACAGGAUUAGAUACCCGUGUAGUC